rnacentral:rRNA from 1 species
UACGUAGGGCGCAAGCGUUGUCCGGAAUUAUUGGGCGUAAAGAGCUCGUAGGCGGCUUGUCACGUCGAUUGUGAAAGCCCGAGGCUUAACCUCGGGUCUGCAGUCGAUACGGGCUAGCUAGAGUGUGGUAGGGGAGAUCGGAAUUCCUGGUGUAGCGGUGAAAUGCGCAGAUAUCAGGAGGAACACCGGUGGCGAAGGCGGUCCACUGGGCAUCAACUGACGCUGAGGCGCGAAAGCGUGGGUAGCAAACAGG